ACCAUUGUCAGAAUUUUUUUGUGUGGUUGCAAUAGGCGUAGGAACAAAAUGAAAAGACAUGCAUAAUGUCCAUAUUGCCAUCUAUCCAUGUUACAAGUUUCAUGAAAAAUAUUAAGAACUUUAAAAGUUAUCACAGGAUCCAGAAAAGUGUGAUAGACUCACGGACUGACGGACACACAGAGCUCAAACCAUAAGUCCCCUCCGGUGAAACCAGAAGGGGACUAUAAGGGUUAAUCUUCAAAAAUGAUAUGCCUAUAAACCUUUUUACAGGCAGGGAUAUUGCUAUCCUCCAUUCCCUUGAGGAAAUAAAGCAGGAGCAGCGGGAGAUUAAGAUAAUGUUGGCUACGCUGAUGCAGAGGCAAAGUGGACCUGUCGGAAGUGCUGAUCUGCCAGACGGUGUCACCCUCCCAGUUGCGAAUGUGGAGGCAAUGCAUGCAUUGGAAGAGAAGCUUCGAGAUCACACAACAAUGCGAGUCAUGGUAGACUAUAUAUAUAUAUACCUUGCCAAUAUAUGAGGCUCAUCGUUAAAAAUAAUGAUCAAGAGUCUUAUGGCAGAAGUCCUUGACAACCAACUGGCUGUCCAGUUUAAUUGGACAGGGCGUGACAAGAUGGCCUUUCAAUCCCUGAAACUGUGUUCUGUCAUUCAAAGAUCUGUGAGAAGAAAUUUUCCACACACAACAAAUAAUAAAUUGGAGUACUUUAUAAAAGAUUAGCUGCACAAUGCCAGUGACCGGGAUGGCGGGCGAAAAAAAAGGGUAAAUUUUAAUUACCAGCUCCAGCUCCUGACUACCAAGAUUGACUGUUAUUGAAUUUGCCUGAAGCAACUAUAUACAGCACUUAACCCUUUACUGCAGAAUUAAUACGAAAAUUAAAAUGUGUUUUCUCAAUCAGAAGAUUUGUGAAAUAACUGUAUGUAUGGAACUUUGAUAUGGGGGUGUAUCGAUACACCCUUAAAUAUAAACAUAUAAAGGUGUAAAUUGAGUAUAUAUUUUUUAAAUUUAUUUAAGCAUAUUAAGAUACAAUUCAUGUUAUAAAUUAUUUUUGUUUGUUUGACCAUUUUAAUGAUGACAUUUUGACAUCAUUAUUGUGAUUAUUCUGUAUAACCGUACUUAUGACUAUACAAUUAAAAUAAAUUUUCACAAUAAGCCAAUUUAUGUUCCUAGACAUAAGGUGAAAGAAAAUCGAGUGAAAGUAUUAGGCCCAAAAUCAGCUAUUGUAGAUGUAAUCUGUAAUGCGAACAUAAUUAACAAUAUAUAUUCCGUAUUUUAAAUUUGAAUCAUACUUAUUUUUUGUCAUAGUUCCUCUAAAUUCAGAAUAAGGAUGAAAUUAAUAACUAAAUGUAUUAUUUUGUAAAUAAAGGUUUAAUUGGUAAGAGGGCAAACUUUUAAUUUCACAUAUGCAAAUGUAAAAACUGCACAAACAUGAUACAACUGUUUUAUAUGCAUUUAAAUAAUAUGUAAAUUAAUGGAAAUGUAUAUAAAUGCCAAAUGUCAAUACUAACAUUUAAUGAAUAAUGCAAAAUAUGUACUAAAAAAAGAAAAUUGAUUACUAUAUUUGUUGUGUUUAUUCUAUUUGUGUUUAUUGUUAGUGUAUAUAAAUACCAAAUGUUGAUAAAUUACAAUUAAUGAAUAAUUCAAUAUAUGUAAAUACUAUAUUUGUUGGAUUAAUUUUUCGUUUUGUUUUUUGUUAAUGUAUGUAAAAACCAAAUGUCUAUAGAUUUCAUUUUAAAGGGAAAGAUCUAGAAGAUCAUGUAUGUCUUGUCAAAAUGUUAAGCCUGCUCCUAUUUAGCAGCACCCUGUAUGCCUUUUGGGGUAAUGUUAUGAAUAAUGCAAAACAUAUGCUGAACAAAGGAAAAUUGAAGUCUUUUUUUAAUUUAGUUUAUUUUGGUCGUCUCCAAUGUAACGUACUCAGAAUCUUAAAACAAACUGUGAUUAAAUAAGUUAGAUUUAAACAUUUUUGAACGUUUGCUCUUUUUUGUAUUCAUUUAAGUUUUUAACUGAAUAUAUGACUUCUACAUACAAUUAGUGCUACUUUAGUUAGGAAUUAAAUUUACAUGUUUUUCUGACAUAAUUCAUGUUAUAAAUUUAGCAUUCUAAUUUUUCUCUAAAAGGGCUUUAUAACUUUGGUUUAAUAUAAAUAAAUGUAGGAUUUGUUUUUUCCCAUGUUUUCCCAUGUCAAAAUCAUUUUGUCUGAAAUUGUCGUUCACAUUUGUGUUGUAUUCAUGGCCAGCACAUGCAAGAUGUAUAAUAUUACAUAACAUGCCGCACCAUUAGCCGAUUAUUUAUUUCUGUGUAACAUGUGUUCUGGUAAAUCAUGGCCAUAUCGCCUUUUUUCCUAUAUACAAGUAUCUUAUGUGUUGAUUUUUUAAACUUUUUGUAUCUACAUGUACAUGUAUUAUUUGAAGCUUAAAAUAGUUGUUUUAAUGUAAUUAUGACAUAAUACCUUUUCAAAGUAAUUGUUUAUAAGAUAAAUCAGUGUUGUUUGUUAUAUACAUGGCAAAGUGCUGUAUUUGUGGUAUUAUUGAAGGUGUUACAUAAAACCGACGACGGGCCGAUAAGCCAUUUUGCCGAUAUCGGGCUGACAACUGGCCGAUAAACAAUUUUGCCGCU